AAACCAGCACCUCAAGUGGUCAGGAGGAUUAUUGGGCCUAAAGCAUCCGUAGCCUGCUGCAUAAGUUUUCGGUUAAAUCCAUACGCUCAACGUAUGGGCUGCCGGGAAUACUGUGCAGCUAGGGAGUGGGAGAGGUAGACGGUACUCAGUAGGAAGGGGUAAAAUCCUUUGAUCUAUUGAUGACCACCUGUGGCGAAGGCGGUCUACCAGAACACGUUCGACGGUGAGGGAUGAAAGCUGGGGGAGCAAACCGGAUUAGAAACCCCAGUAGUCC
rnacentral:rRNA from 1 species